rnacentral:rRNA from 1 species
AUUGAACGCUGGCGGAAUGCUUUACACAUGCAAGUCGAACGGCGGCACGGACUUCGGUCUGGUGGCGAGUGGCGAACGGGUGAGUAAUGUAUCGGAACGUGCCCAGUCGUGGGGGAUAACGUAGUGAAAAUUACGCUAAUACCGCAUACGAUCCAUGGAUGAAAGCGGGGGAUCGCAAGACCUCGCGCGAUUGGAGCGGCCGAUAUCAGAUUAGGUAGUUGGUGGGGUAAAGGCCCACCAAGCCAACGAUCUGUAGCUGGUCUGAGAGGACGACCAGCCACACUGGAAUUGAGACACGGUCCAGACUCCUACGGGAGGCAGCAGUGGGGAAUUUUGGACAAUGGGCGAAAGCCUGAUCCAGCCAUUCCGCGUGCAGGAUGAAGGCCCUCGGGUUGUAAACUGCUUUUGUACAGAACGAAAAGGUUUCUACUAAUACUAGGAGCUCAUGACGGUACUGUAAGAAUAAGCACCGGCUAACUACGUGCCAGCCGCCGCCGUAA